rnacentral:rRNA from 1 species
UGAGUAACCUGCCUCUGACUUUGGGAUAACCCUCGGAAACGGGGGCUAAUACCGGGUAUUCAUUCCUUGCGGCAUCGUGGGGUGUGGAAAGCUUUUGCGGUCAGGGAUGGGCUCGCGGCCUAUCAGCUAGUUGGUGGGGUGACGGCCUACCAAGGCGUCGAUGGGUAGCCGGCCUGAGAGGGCGACCGGCCACACUGGGACUGAGACACGGCCCAGACUCCUACGGGAGGCAG